rnacentral:rRNA from 1 species
CAAUAGCGUAUAUUAAAGUUGUUGCGGUUAAAAAGCUCGUAGUUGGAUUUCUGCUGAGGACGAUCGGUCCGCCCACUGGGUGAGUAUCUGGCUCGGCCUUGGCAUCUUCUUGGAGAACGUUGCUGCACUUGACUGUGUGGUGCGGUAUCCAGGACUUUUACUUUGAGGAAAUUAGAGUGUUCACGGCAGGCAAUCGCCUUGAAUAUAUUAGCAUGGAAUAAUAACAUAGGAUCUUUGUCCUAUUUUGUUGGUUUCUAGGGCUGAGAUAAUGAUUAAUAGGGAUAAUUGGGGGCAUCUGUAUCAACGCGUCAGAGGUGGAAUUCUUGGAUUGCGUUGCGACAAACUACUGCGAAAGCAUUUGCCAAGGAUGUUUUCAUUGA